AUCGCUUCUCGGCCUUUUGGCUAAGAUCAAGUGUAGUAUCUGUUCUUAUUAGUUUAAUAUCUGAUACGUCCUCUAUCCGAGGACAAUAUAUUAAAUGGGUUUUUGGAACUAUGUUUGGCCCUGGAAUCCCACGAGGUAGCUGGAUGGAACAGACUCCUACAACUUGACAUCUUAAUUCCUCGUGUGUGCCUCUCCCAUC